UACGGGGGGGGGCAAGCGUUGUUCGGAAUUACUGGGCGUAAAGGGCUCGUAGGCGGCCAACUAAGUCGGAUGUGAAAUCCCCAGGCUUAACCUGGGAACUGCAUCCGAUACUGAUUGGCUUGAAUCCGGGAGAGGGAUGCGGAAUUCCAGGUGUAGCGGUGAAAUGCGUAGAUAUCUGGAGGAACACCGGUGGCGAAGGCGGCAUCCUGGACCGGCAUUGACGCUGAGGAGCGAAAGCCAGGGGAGCAAACGGG
rnacentral:rRNA from 1 species